rnacentral:tRNA from 1 species
CGAGUGCUUGGUGUAGCUAGGCAGCACACCCGCACAGGCAUGUGAUCAACGGGAGGCGUCGGUUCAAUUCCGGCACGCUCGG